rnacentral:lncRNA from 1 species
AUCUUUGAAGGUGGAUUUGAGCGGAUCUUCAAGGGCUUUUGGGCUUGAUCUUUGAAGAACAGUGAUGAACGGAUCUCCAAGGGCUUUUGGGCUUGAUCUUGAAAGAACAGUGAUGAACGGAUCUUCAAGGGCUUUUGGGCUUGAUCUUGAAGAACGGUUGGAUGUGUGGAUUUGUCGACGUUGUUGAUCCAAAGGGCCGUUGGGGCUUGAUCUUGGAUGAACGGAUGAUGAACGAUGGUGCUUUCUUCAAGGGCCGUCGGGGCUUGAUCUUGAAUUGGUGGAUGAUUGUUGAUCCAAAGGGCCGUUGGGGCUUGAUCUUGGAAGAACGAUGAACGAAGAACGAAGAACGCUUUCUUCAAGGGCCGUCGGGGCUUGAUCUUGAAGGUGGAUGAUUGUUGAUCCAAGGGCCGUCGAGGCUUGAUCUUGGAAGAACGAUGAACGAAGAACGAAGAACGCUUUCUUCAAGGGCCGUCGGGGCUUGAUCUUGAAGGUGGAUGAUUGUUGAUCCAAGGGCCGUCGAGGCUUGAUCUUGGAAGAACGAUGAACGAAGAACGAAGAACACUUUCUUGAUUCUUCGGGAACCUGGAUGCUUGAGAGCUUCGGAGUUUCAGAGCUUCAGAGCUUCAGAGCUUCAAGGUGUAAUAUCAAUUGGUUCCCAAAUGAAUGAAAUUGGGCUUGUAUUUAUAGAAUUUUCCAAGGCCUAAUUUUGAAUAUAAUAUUCCAGAUGAAAUAAGUCGUUUCUGCCAGGUAUUGACACGUGUCCUAUUUGAUGACUUUUCCAACUCAUUUCAAUUUUCGUUGAGUCACAUGCUACAUGUAAAAUUUAUGUAAUACAUGAGCGUUGACACUUUGAUUUAUCGGUCAACAUUUAUUUACCGAAAUUUCGAUGUCUACAAUAAAUUCCAAAGAAAAAUGUGUCAUAAAGUGUAGAAAAUUCCUGAAGGAUUCAAAUUGCUUGAAGUAAGCCCCGAAGGGUAAAGCAUAAAAUAUGUACUUAAUACCAAUGGAUGGAAUAAAUUGCCUUAGUGAGUACUAUCAUUGUGAUAUUGUUGCAACAUACUAAAAUCUCUUGCAAGAGUCCAUGACAUUAAAUUAGAAUUCCUGAAGAGUUGAUGAUAUUAAAUUGAGACUCCUGAAAAGUCAAGAAAGAUUAUAAAGUGUUGAGAGAAUUAUUGUCUCGAGCUGCAGAUCAAAAAAUAUACCAACACGAAUCUUAUCCAUGAUAUUUAUGAUAUUAAAAGAACCAUAUAAAUUGAAGAUUAUGAGUUGAAUACUCAAAUGAUGUAGACAUUAAGAAUAAUCAUUUAUCUUCGUGAGGGUAAAGAUAAAUUAAUAUUUGGUCCAGAAGUACCACAUCUUUAGUGAAGUAUUGCUUUAUUGUAUUUGGCACAAUACAUUGAAUGAAAUAAAGCUUAUCUAUUAAUAUCUCCAAGAAAUUACAGAUAUGUACAUACACAUGAGUUAAAACAAUCAAACAGGAUGAAGCCUUUACAAAGGUUGCUCAUGUGAAACCUUAGUACUCGGAAGUACCCUAGAAGGGGGAGGCACUGGAGAUUGAUCAUGUGGCACCCCAGUACUUAGCAAAACACCAGAAGGGGAAGACAUCAGUUGCUUUCGGAAUCUAGCAACGAACCUAUGGUGAUCACUUUGAAUCCAACUUUCGGAUUCCUGUAGCUAGUCGAACUUUCUUGUCAUGCUCGUAGAGUAAUUAUUCGCAAGCACGUGUAAUACUUUAUUCUCGUGCUUGAGCCCUCUGAUCUAUUGUUUAAGACUUGCCACCUCAACCAUCAAUUAUUCAACUUGACGAGUUUGAGCAAGUAGGCGUUGACCCAUAUUGGAUACAAAGCUCGCACAUUNUUGCUUUGAAGGUUGACAAGAGCUGCUUUGCCCCCUUUCCGAUUGGCGGACUUGUGGAGGAAGACAUAUGUUUUCUUGUGCAAUUUCUUAGUUUCUUAGAGUGACUUGAGUCCAUCCUUCUACUUUGCUUGUCUUGGAGGAUGCCCCCAACGGUUGAGGUGAAACCUUUGAGUCGGAAGAGCCAGAAGUGAAGGUGGUACAGUUUGACUCCCCCACAUCGUCAAGAUCUAGCUCGAUGAUUCCUUUCUGAGCCAGCUUCAUGAUGAGAUCUUUCAGCACGAAACACUUUUCUGUCGGAUGACUGAUGAAGCGGUGGAAUUUACAGUAUCUUGGACUGUCAGUACGAGUCAUCUCUUCCGGCCAUCUGCACUCAGGCAAACUGAUCACCUUCUUGUCCAAUAGGUCAUCUAGCAUGGCAACCACAUCAGAGUCGGGGAAUGGAUAAAGUCUUCUCCUCAAGUCUUCUCCUCAAGCUCCUUCAAAGUGCGUCUACGCGUCUCUUGAUCACGAAAAGCUUCGGUUUGAAUCGCCUUGCCUCGUGUGGAUAUUUUGACGGGAGAUGUGUUGACCGUCAUCGCUUCCUUGGUGGGUUUCCAUGCAGCCUUUUCCACCUUUGUCCCAAGAGCUUUGUCGUUCUUGUAGUCGGCGAUCGGUUCUUUCUUCCCAUGAUGGGCGAUGCUCAACUCCAUGUCAUGGGCGCGAGUGGCCAAUUCCUCGAAGGUCCGCGGUUUAAUGCCUUGAAGGAUGUAUUGCAAACCCCAUUGCAUGCCUUGGAUGCACAUCUCGAUUGAAGAGGUUUCCGAGAGCCUGUCUUUGCAGUCGAGGCUUAAAGUGCGCCAUCUGUUGAUGUAGUCAAUGACUGGUUCGUCCUUCCACUGCUUUGUGCUUGUUAGCUCUAGCAUGCUCACAGUGCGGCGAGUGCUGUAGAAGCGGUUGAGGAAUUCCCGCUCCAAUUGCUCCCAACUGUUGAUGGACUCAGGCUCUAGGUCCGUGUACCAUUCAAAGGCGUUUCCUUUUAGCGAGCGCACAAACUGCUUGGCGAGGUAGUCCCUUCGGUUCGGUCUGCGUUGUUGCAAGUUUCAACGAAGUAGGCAAUGUGCUGUUUUGGGUUUCCCUUUCCAUCAAAUUGCAUGAACUUUGGUGGUUGAUAACCCCUCGGCAUCCUUAAGGCGUCGAUCUUCUUUGAAUACGGCUUUGAGUACAACCCGGAGGUAUUUGAGCUCCCUUCGUACUGUGGCCUUGAUGGUGUUGGUGAUCAUCUUUUGCAGCUGCUGGAUAGAAAGAGAUCCCAUGAGUGCCGCUGCUUGGUCUGGCUCGGGCUUCCCAUUGAUUUUCUUCACCGGGGGUUCUUCGUCUCCGCCAGCUCCUCCCUUUAGUGGAUCAUCCUCUGGGUCGGGUUUAUCGCCGUCUUGUGCCUCCAAUCGGGUUGACUAGUGCUGCAAUUUGCAAGUCUUUUUUUCUUCCACAGUUCGGGUUAGCCUUGCGAUUGCUUCAUUCAUCAUUGAGCCAGAGCUGCUCAUCGAUUGAAGUUGCUCCAAUGGUCAUGACUUGCAUGGCUGAACUGUCGCUUGAACCGGCAUCGGAGAGCAUGGAUUCGGAGUAUUUCCUUGGGCUUUUCCCCCUUGGUGCCCUUAGUGAGGCUAAGGUGAUCAAAGGCUCGUGCCUUGGGUGCUUUUGUUCCCUUGGCAGAGUUGAUGCAGAGGUGAAAGAGGCGGCAGAAGUAGCUCUUGCUAUGCUUCGAGUCGUGAUGCCCAAAGUGACACCAGUUGCGACGAGGACGCUUUUGUUCUUUGCGCCGGUUGCGGGAACAGUUUGAGCCUUCCUUGAUGCCAUUAAUUUUGGAAGCGCGCUUGAAUUUCUUGAACGGAGAAAGAGAUGAGAGGCAGAGAUUGUCCCACUGGGCGUGCCAAUUUGUGAACACGGAAAAUUCCUGAAACGAAAGAGACAAGAAACGACGCGCACAAACAAAUAUUAAGUAUUUGAUGAUUUUGGGUUACAAUCUCUCUCAAAUUUGAUCCUCUGAUUCGAUCUCCGUAAGGUGUUGAUUGGUGGGUGUUUCGUUGAUCCAAGGGCCGUCGAGGCUUAAUCUUGGAUGAACAGUUGGAAGUUUCUUCAAAGGGCCGUGGGCUUGAUCUUUAAGGUGGAUUUGAGCGGAUCUUCAAGGGCUUUUGGGCUUGAUCUUUGAAGAACAGUGAUGAACGGAUCUCCAAGGGCUUUUGGGCUUGAUCUUGAAGAACAGUGAUGAACGGAUCUUCAAGGGCUUUUGGGCUUGAUCUUGAAGAACGGUUGGAUGUGUGGAUUUGUCGACGUUGUUGAUCCAAAGGGCCGUUGGGGCUUGAUCUUGGAUGAACGGAUGAUGAACGAUGGUGCUUUCUUCAAGGGCCGUCGGGGCUUGAUCUUGAAUUGGUGGAUGAUUGUUGAUCCAAGGGCCGUUAGGGCCGUUGGGCUUGAUCUUGGAAGAACGAUGAACGAAGAACGAAGAACGCUUUCUUCAAGGGCCGUCGGGGCUUGAUCUUGAAGGUGGAUGAUUGUUGAUCCAAGGGCCGUCGAGGCUUGAUCUUGGAAGAACGAUGAAC